rnacentral:rRNA from 1 species
AUUGAACGCUGGCGGCAGGCCUAACACAUGCAAGUCGAGCGGAUGAAGGGAGCUUGCUCCUGGAUUCAGCGGCGGACGGGUGAGUAAUGCCUAGGAAUCUGCCUGGUAGUGUGGGAUAACGUCCGGAAACGGGCGCUAAUACCGCAUACGUCCUGAGGGAGAAAGUGGGGGAUCUUCGGACCUCACGCUAUCAGAUGAUCCUAGGUCGGAUUAGCUAGUUGGUUAGGUAAAGGCCUACCAAGGCGACGAUCCGUAACUGGUCUGAGAGGAUGAUCAGUCACACUGGAACUGAGACACGGUCCAGACUCCUACGGGAGGCAGCAGUGGGGAAUAUUGGACAAUGGGCGAAAGCCUGAUCCAGCAAUGCCGCGUGUGUGAAGAAGGUCUUCGGAUUGUAAAGAACUUUAAGUUGGGAGGAAGGGCAGUAAGUUAAUACCUUGCUGUUUUGACGGUACCAACAGAAUAAGCACCGGCUAACUUCGUG